rnacentral:tRNA from 1 species
GGGGUCAUAGCUCAGUGGUAGAGCGCUCACCUAGCAUGUGUGAGGCACUGGGUUUGAUUCUCAGCACCA